rnacentral:rRNA from 1 species
ACUAGGAGGCGGGAGAGGUGGACGGUACUCCACGGGUAGGGGUAAAAUCCUCUGAACCAUGGAAGACCACCAGUGGCGAAGGCGGUCCACCAGAACGCGCUCGACGGUGAGGGAUGAAAGCUGGGGUAGCGAACCGGAUUAGAUACCCGGGUAGUCCCAGCUGUAAACGAUGCAAGCUAGGUGAUGCAUUAGCCAUGUGUUAAUGCAGUGCCGCAGGGAAGCCGUUAAGCUUGCCGCCUGGGGAGUACGGUCGCAAGGCUGAAACUUAAAGGAAUUGGCGGGGGAGCACCACAAGGGGUGAAGCCUGCGGUUCAAUUGGAGUCAACGCCGGGAACCUUACCAGGAGAGACAGCAGGGUGAAGGUCAGGCUGAAGACUUUACCAGACAAGCUGAGAGGAGGCGCAUGGCCGUCGACAGCUCGUGCCGUGAGGCGUCCUGUUAAGUCAGGCAACGAGCGAGACCCUUGCCAUUAAUUGCUUCCAUCGAUCGCAAGGUUGGCGGAGCUAGUUAAUGGGACUGACGUUAAUAAAACGAAGGAAGGAAGGGGCCACGGCAGGUCAGUAUGCCCCGAAACUCUUGGGCCACACGCGGGCUGCAAUGGUAGGCACAAUAGGUACCAAGCUCGAAAGAGCAAGGCAAUCCCCAAAUCCUACCCCAGUUGUGAUUGAGGGCUGCAACUCGCCCUCAUGAAUCUGGAAUCCCUAGUAAUUGCGUGUCAACAUCGCGCGGUG